GCUUGCUGUUGGUGGAUGAGUGGCGAACGGGUGAGUAACACGUGAGUAACCUGCCCCUGAUUUCGGGAUAAGCCUGGGAAACUGGGUCUAAUACCGGAUACGACCUCCUGACGCAUGUUGGGUGGUGGAAAGUUUUUCGAUCGGGGAUGGGCUCGCGGCCUAUCAGCUUGUUGGUGGGGUAAUGGCCUACCAAGGCGACGACGGGUAGCCGGCCUGAGAGGGCGACCGGCCACACUGGGACUGAGACACGGCCCAGACUCCUACGGGAGGCAGCAGUGGGGAAUAUUGCACAAUGGGGGAAACCCUGAUGCAGCGACGCAGCGUGCGGGAUGACGGCCUUCGGGUUGUAAACCGCUUUCAGCAGGGAAGAAGCGAAAGUGACGGUACCUGCAGAAGAAGUACCGGCUAACUACGUGCCAGCAGCCGCGGUAAUACGUAGGGUACGAGCGUUGUCCGGAAUUAUUGGGCGUAAAGAGCUCGUAGGUGGUUGGUCACGUCUGCUGUGGAAACGCAACGCUUAACGUUGCGCGUGCAGUGGGUACGGGCUGACUAGAGUGCAGUAGGGGAGUCUGGAAUUCCUGGUGUAGCGGUGAAAUGCGCAGAUAUCAGGAGGAACACCG
rnacentral:rRNA from 1 species